GUCCCUACGGGGCGCAGCAGUGAGGAAUAUUGGUCAAUGGGCGCAAGCCUGAACCAGCCAAGUCGCGUGAGGGAAGACGGUCCUAUGGAUUGUAAACCUCUUUUGUCGGGGAGCAAAGCGCGGUACGAGUACCGUGAAGGAGAGUACCCGAAGAAAAAGCAUCGGCUAACUCCGUGCCAGCAGCCGCGGUAAUACGGAGGAUGCGAGCGUUAUCCGGAUUUAUUGGGUUUAAAGGGUGCGUAGGCGGCAUUAUAAGUUAGUGGUAAAAUAUUGGGGCUUCACCUCACUACGCCAUUAAUACUGUA
rnacentral:rRNA from 1 species